rnacentral:lncRNA from 1 species
GGGCUGGGCUGCCGCACGAGUGGCCUGCCGGGUGCGGGGGAAAAUGUUCGAGCGCGAGCCCCCGCGGGGCCACUGGGGAGACGGAGGGCAGAAACGGGGGCCGUUGGAGCCAGCCUAAGCUUGGGUGUAAGCUCUGUCACUCAGAGCUCGGGACUAGGCGCUUUUGGGUGCAAAACGAGUGGCCCACACAACUCCCUGGCUAGAAGAGGCCCGAGUCUGGGAGGGGAGAGAUUUGGAGAAACCGAAUCUCAACUCCAUGAAGUCAGUGACGUGUCUCUUCUCUGCUGUACUCCGGGUGCCUGAAAUGUGCCUGGCAGGAAACUUUCAUUUUGGCCACAUAUGUACCUGUGUGCAGGCAUGUGUGCUUCUGUGAGCAUGCCCUGGAUCUCAAUGCCAAGGUCAACAGAAAGAAAGCAGAGAGUGAGUCACCAGCUAGCAGGAUGGAGCGUUGGAGAGUGGCCUAACAUGGGUAUUGGGAAGCUGAAGGCUGACCUGAGAGCUCCUCCUAGCAUGAGGCUCAUCUGUCAUCAUAAGCACAUGUGGGGGUCUCCUUCACUGGAUUGAGGACAUGUCCUGAGUGCAGCCAUCCCUGCCAGGAUUUAUGGGAACCAGGGAAGGUUUCCCACUCGGCUGUAUUAACUACAGGAGGAUCGACCUUCAUGUGAGCACAGCCUGUCCCACCAAACUGGCAAGUAAAGCGAAAGAUUGCUCGGAGGCCCCUUUCUCUAUCUAGAGUGGCCAGAAAUCCUUAGAGGCAGCUGCCUGAUACACUUUCUCCGAAGGCUGACUGUUAAUCUCUUUUCCUUGGGAACUCUGCCUUAGCAUCGCGCCCUCCCGCGGGGAGGUGUCAUUUGCAGUAGUGGUUGGUUUGACAAUAGACGUGCUAAGGAGGGCGUCUCCAGAUCCCCUGCGUAGAGCCUGGGUCCCCAUCACUCAGGCUCCCGGGAGCUGCUUCUCAUUCUCUAACUGGCACUGCGGAGAGACAGAGAGAAGUCUUUGAAGUAAAGGCACUAGGACUAAUGGCAUAAUUACUCCACAGAACCAUUUGCAAAGUAAUUAUGGACUAUUGUUAGGAUGCUCCAGCUUUUUUUUUUUUUAAAGUAAUGAGGCUUUGCUUGGAGUAAGUGAUUAUGGGGAAAAAAGCCAAUAAUGUGUGUGUGUGUGCAUUUUAAAAAGGAGAGAAAUACCCUUUAUGCCCCCUCCUCUCAAAGCCCCCUUUCCCAUCUCCCUCGUGUAAAACCAGAAACUCACCCAGAACCCACCAUGGACCCAAGAGUGCCCUGUUGCCUUCUCUUGCCCUGGCAUUAAAAUACAAUUUCGAGAAGUACUGGCUGUAGAAUAAUUUGCUGAGAGAUGCAUUUCUUCUAAGGACGGAAGGACCUUGAGGCCGUGUUGUUAAUGUUCGAAGCCCAGGGGUCUUCUGAGUGGGAAAGUUCUCCAGCGGCUCUCCUCAAGCACUUCAUGCCAGAGCUGGGCUUCCUUCUGGCCCUGGCCCACCUCCUGGAUGUCCGUGGGGUCCGCCGCACAGAGCCUGCAGCCUCUGCAUGACAGGGCCUGCGUCAAGCUAAUUGAGAUACAUAUUACAAUAUUAACUUUUUAAAUAUCGUAUUAGCUUUCCAUUAGGAUAAAUGAGGUACGGAGGAAAAUUGUAACAGAGCAUUAGUCUCUGCCUGCACUUAGCACAUUGAUUAUGUCCAGAUGAGAUCCUCUGAGCCCACCCCGGGGACCAUGGGAGGGGCAGGCUGAGGCCAAGGGCGUGUCUUCUAGAUGGAAGCUCAGUCUGAGGGUGCAGGCGGUGAAGGGCAGGGAGGCGUGGAAGGGCUGAGUCUUGGGUGGAAGGGGCUGGGACCCAUUUAAGUCCUCUCUGAUGACAGUGCCCUGGAUCCUACAGGACAUUGAAGGACUUUUCUGGGCAGCCUGGCACUUAGCCGAUAGCAGCAAUUGUAAAUAAUUACAGCACUGUUGGCUGAGCUUCUAGAGAGGACAGGCCCUUUGGGGACACUCUCUCUUAAUCCUCAUUUCAAGUGACAGAGGAACAGGGGUCCAGGGAAGGAAGGGAUGGCCCCAAGGUCUCCCAGCUUCUCGAAAUAGCACUUCUGCCUGGGGAGGAACUUCAAGUCUAGGCUUGCACUGAAGUCUGAAGCCUUCGUGUCCAGCCCUGAGGUGUUGCUGAACCUGUGGGCCUGGGAGGUAUGGGGCAGCCUGCAAAUUCCCAGCCAGGGUAUCUUAGUCUGUUUGAGCUGCUCUAAGAAAACAUCACAGGCGAGGUGGUUCAUAAACAUCAGAAAUCUGUUUCUCCCUGUUCUGGAGCUGGAAGUCUCAGAUCAAGGUGGAGCAUGGUCAGGUGAGGGCCCUCUUCCAGGCUGCAACCUUCUCCUUGUGUCCUCACUCUGGUGCAGAGAGCUCUCUGGAGCCUCUUUUGUAAGGCCACUAAUCCUAUUCAUGGGCUCUGUGCACAACCAUCCUUCAGCUCUGUCUGAGGCAGUGUGGCCAGGUGGCCCACCAGACACAGACACGGACUAUUGUCAGAGAAAGAUGUCAUUUCCUAUGAACAUGGAAGGUGUGUGUGAACAAGGCCAAAAGGCAGUUUGGACUGAGCCCUGGGUCACGACCUACCCCUGGGUGACAAUAACUUGGCUAAAGGAGGAAGCUACGCCAGCAUCUGCUUCCUGGAUAGCUGAGUCCUUGAGUAAGUUAACCACUCUGAGACUCAAUUUCUCAUCUAUAAAAUGGGUUGAGUAACCCUAUCUCAUAUGGUUUGGGGGGCAUUCCUGGGAUAAUCCAUACAAUACACUUGGCACAUAUAUAUUAUGCUUAGAAACAUUAGCUGCUAUUUCAGUGUGAUCAUAGUGAUUAUUAAGAACUGGCUCUCUGGAAGAAGGCCUACCUGAGGGGGUCAAUGCUUGGCUCCCUGUUUAUUGAUGGUGUGGUCUUGGGCUUGUUGAUACCUCCCAAGACUCAGUUUCCUUAUUGAUAAGACGAGGAUAGUAGAUGUACCUGGUUCAGAGAGUGACGGAGAUUGAGCGUGUUAACACAUUUAAUGCACUCAGCAUAGUGCCUGGCCGAUGGUGUAUUUAUUAUUUACCUCUGUGUUCAGCUGUGAAUUUAGCCAGAGCCAGGGGAGGUGCCUGCGUUUUGAUGUCCAGACCUAUGUAGGGCCUGUGGACAGUGAGUUGUUGGAGGCUGGCAGGUGGACGGGCAUGCGUGUUACCCUAGAUCGGCUGGGCCCCUGCGCUGGGGCAUUCCCUGUCCACACUGCCUCCUCAGACCAGGCAUUGCUGGGUCUCUCCUGAAGAGAGGGACAGUCUGCUUGGGAGCAUGGCUGUGGUAUGUGUGUGGCUCCAACAUCAGCCCCUUCAGGGUGGAGGGGUUGCUUGGUUCAUCUUUGCCUCUCUGUUCUGCUCAAACCCUGGAACUUGGUAACACCUCUGUGAAUCGCUCUGAGUUGCCUACAGCACAAGAAAUGAUGGUGAACAUCCGAAACAGUGUGUAAUGAAGUUCCAUGUUAUACGGUGCCUGUAGUUUGAACAGAAAGAGUCCAGAUGACAGGUGGAGCUUUCUGAAGGAGGUGAUGUGAACGGGGCCUGCUGUGAAAAGGUGGUUGGGACACAGGGAUGGGGUCUGGGAGGGGGAGCAAUGUGAUUUAGUGGCAGGGGCCUGAGUGGUCAGAGGAGCAGAGGGCCCAGUGUCUUUGGAGCAGAGUGUGUGUGUGAGGGGUUACAGGUGAUGGAGGACCUAGGGAAAGGGCAGGAAUUUGACAUCAAGGCAGGGGACUAUAGUGAGGUGCAGAAAGCUUCAAAGGUGGACCAACCUCCUGGGAGUAUCUUGGGAGGUUGACCUUGGGGCAGUGGGGUGCUGAGCCAGUGAUCUGAGGCGCAGCACAGCUGCCCUCACCUCUUGUCCUGGGAGAUGAUGCUGUUUGCUUGGUGCUGCCAAGUGGUGCAGUCGCUUAACCAUGACCUGCAAGUUAAGUCACCUGUCGUGAGGAGGAAUGAGUCAUUCUCUGAAGCUUUUGUGCAAGAGCAACUAGAAUAUUUAUCCAGGUCUCAGGGAACCCAGGGACACCUUGAAAAACAGGAGCUGGCUUUGAAGUGGGAUCCAAUGACAUCCUUAAGCCUCUGCGUCUAGAGAUCUGUUCACAAGUCAGAGCCCGUAGAUUUUAAGGGCAGAAUAUUUUCACUGCAAAGAAACUUUCUCUGAGAAGCCUUGAUUGGAAGACUGCCUGGAGCCCACAGAGCUUUUUGUUUUCAGGCUCAUUAGUGAGUGAGAGUCUCAUUGCAUUGUGCAUGGGGCAAAGGCAAAACAGAGAGAGAAAGUGACUGGCAGACAGGGCACCUGGAAUGAAGUGUGUGACUGUGGGGAAGCCGCAUCCACAGGUCAUGACCUCCUGUGGACUUUCCUAUACGUGAAACUCCAUCUUGGAGGCUGCUUCCUGGGAAACCCAGCCUGUGACAGUAGGUGAUAAGACGCUGGGGCCUCGAGUCAGUUAUUUCCUCUCCAGGCCCCAGUUUCUGCAUCUGCAAAAUAAAAAUGGCUCGCCAGAUAAGAGAUUCUCAAAGUGUGGCCCAUGGAACCCCAGGGUUCCUGAAAUACUCUUUGAACAUCUCAUUUAUCAAAGGACAAAACUAUUUGCAUAAUAUUAUUGUUAUCUAUUUGCCAUUUGUGCUGAUGGUGCCAAAGCAAUGGUGCCUUAAAAGUGGCAUCAAUCCAUGCUAAUCUUGUAUUCUUUGCUACUAUGUACUCACAGU